rnacentral:rRNA from 1 species
GAUGAACGCUAGCGGCAGGCUUAACACAUGCAAGUCGAGGGGCAGCGCGAGUAGCAAUACUUGGCGGCGACCGGCGCAAGGGUGCGUAACGCGUGAGCAACAUGCCCGUAUCAGGGGGAUAAUCCAGGGAAACUUGGUCUAAUACCCCAUAGUAAUUUUGUAAGGCAUCUUAUGGAAUUUAAAGCUUUGGUGGAUACGGAUUGGCUCGCGUGACAUUAGCUGGAUGGUAAGGUAACGGCUUACCAUGGCUAUGAUGUCUAGGGGUUCUGAGAGGAAGGUCCCCCACACUGGAACUGAGACACGGUCCAGACUCCUACGGGAGGCAGCAGUGAGGAAUAUUGGACAAUGGAUGGAAAUCUGAUCCAGCCAUGCCGCGUGCAGGAAGACGGUCCUAUGGAUUGUAAACUGCUUUUGUAUGGGAGCAAUAAGGCCUUCGUGAAGGCUGAUGAGAGUACCAUACGAAUAAGCACCGGCUAACUCCGUG